CCUUGACGACUCAAAGUGCUUCAAGAGAAACCUAAUAUUUGCUUCUUGUCUCUUCUUCUCAGCUGCAAAGCUGCUCUAGUGCUCUUCGUCUUUUUUUUUUUCGCUUCCUUCAGUCGUUGCCUUUCUACCCCGCAGCCGCCACUACCUUUACUUUCCCCAAAACCAACUCCUCUCGCUCAUGCAUCAGGAAAAUAAAGAGGAAGAAGAGGGUUGGCUGACCCAUCAUCGUCGGCCCCAAAUUUCUUCAACAAAAAAGCAUUGCAGAAGUUUUCUUUAUCUUUUUUCUUUUAUUUAAGCAUUGACUCAAGUUUUUUUGCUUUUGAAUCUGUCUAUUUUUCAUACUUGGAUAAAUCUGCCUAUGAUAGUUGAUAAUGAAAUUAAACCUUCUAGAUGACAGCCUGCUAUUCUCCUUCUAUUCAGGACAUAGGAAUAGGAUAUGAAUGGAAAGAGAAGGCCUUGUUAUUAUCUGAUGUCUCUCCCUCUAUAAAAUUUUUUAUUUGACAGUUUUUUCCUUUUUUUUUUUUUGAAGAUGGAGGAAAGAGUGAGGGCUGAGAUAACGAGAAGGUGCUAAAAAGCAGCAGUAAGAGAAAGAAUGAAGGAUGGUAUUUUCCUAAUGUGUUGCCAUUGUUGAUACUACCAUGUUUUUAGGUUUUGCAUUGUGGGAUGUUUGUGUAUUUGAAAUAAUUCAAUCACCCGCGGGCAUCCGUGGUAGUAGCGGGGCGGGGCAAAAGCAGGGGAUGGGAGAUGGGGUAAGGGCGAGGACGGGGGGAGAACUACCUGAAGAUGGGGUGGAGGGCGGGGGAAGGGUCCUCCCUCCCAAACCCGCCCCGUUGCCAUUCCUAAUUGAGAAGAAUGUAAAGCAACAAUUAACCUUUUUCUUAUGUCUCCAUUACUGCUAACAUAUAUUCUCACUAUAAUGGUACAGGCUUGGAGAAAGGACAUCGUGUAAGCAACUACCAAAUGAAUUGAUGUAACAGUGAAAUAAUUAAACUGGAAGCUCAAAUUCUCAUUAAUCAACUCAUAAAACAUAGAGAAAUAGAAAAUUGCAUAAGAUUAGGAGGUGAAAAAAAUUAUGAAGGAAACUGGAGAGAAAGGAAGAAGGAAUUCGCAUAGCUAAGCAAAUUCUAUCUUUA
rnacentral:lncRNA from 1 species